AUGCCCCUGGGGUGCUCGCGGACCUUAUAGUCCCUUUUGAGUCAACACAUGAAGAAAUAGAUCCUGUUUAGGGCUGUUGUGAGCAUGUUCUCCUCAGAGAGAAAAGCCUUAAAUGCAGCUCUGUCAGGUUCGGCUUGAUUUAUAUCAGGCUCAAGGAAUACGAAGGAACGGCAUCAUCGGGGGCAAU
rnacentral:other from 1 species